GACCGCUCGAUAUUAUCGAGCCAAGGCCAUACGGACAGCCGGGUCCACUGCCGA
rnacentral:sRNA from 1 species